GCCCAAGGUAAGGAAUAACGUCGAGAAAUCGGCGCUAAUACCUCAUAAUGCAGCGGAUCCGCAUGGAUAUGUUGUUAAAGGUUUACCGCCUUGGGAUAGGCUUGCGUCUGAUUAGCUAGUUGGUGUGGUAAUGGCACACCAAGGCUACGAUCAGUAACUGGUCUGAGAGGAUGAUCAGUCACACUGGAACUGAGACACGGUCCAGACUCCUACGGGAGGCAGCAGUGAGGAAUAUUGGGCAAUGCACGAAAGUGUGACCCAGCAACGCCGCGUGGAGGAUGAAGGUAUUCUAUAUCGUAAACUCCUGUGAGAGCAGACGAAAGACAGAUUAUUAAUUUGGAUGACUGUAUGCUCAGAGGAAGCCCCGGCUAACUACGUG
rnacentral:rRNA from 1 species